CCACCCGAGAAAACCCACCUCGUUGUUUCGUCGGUGCGCCCCCCCCCGGGGUAGCCGCCGGAGACCACACCGAACCUCCUGUCUUUAGUGUUGUUUGAGCUUGAUAGCAAACCUAUUAAAACUUUCAACAAUGGAUCUCUUGGUUCCGGCAUCGAUGAAGAACGCAGCGAACUGCGAUAAGUAAUGUGAAUUGCAGAAUUCAGUGAAUCAUCGAGUCUUUGAACGCACAUUGCGCCCCCUGGCAUUCCGGGGGGCAUGCCUGUCCGAGCGUCAUUGCUGCCCUUCAAGCCCGGCUUGUGUGUUGGGUCGUCGUCCCCCCCGGGGGACGGGCCCGAAAGGCAGCGGCGGCACCGCGUCCGGUCCUCGAGCGUAUGGGGCUUUGUCACCCGCUCGAUUAGGGCCGGCCGGGCGCCAGCCGGCGUCUCCAACCUUCUAUUUUACCAGGUGACCUCGGAUCAGGUAGGAACCAGUUCC
rnacentral:rRNA from 1 species